GUGGGGAAUAUUGCACAAUGGGCGAAAGCCUGAUGCAGCAACGCCGCGUGAGGGACGACGGCCUUCGGGUUGUAAACCUCUUUUAGUAGGGAAGAAGCGAAAGUGACGGUACCUGCAGAAAAAGCACCGGCUAACUACGUGCCAGCAGCCGCGGUAAUACGUAGGGUGCAAGCGUUAUCCGGAAUUAUUGGACGUAAAGAGCUCGUAGGCGGUCUGUCGCGUCUGCUGUGAAAACUGGAGGCUCAACCUCCAGCCUGCAGUGGGUACGGGCAGACUAGAGGGCGGUAGGGGAGAUUGGAAUUCCUGGUGUAGCGGUGGAAUGCGCAGAUAUCAGGAGGAACACCGAUGGCGAAGGCAGAUCUCUGGGCCGUAACUGACGCUGAGGAGCGAAAGCGUGGGGAGCGAACAGGAUUAGAAACCCCUGUAGUCC
rnacentral:rRNA from 1 species